AUUUUAAAUUCUUUUCGAGUUUUUGAUUUUAGACGUUAAGACUGUAAGGCCUAAUUUUGGCCCGGGGCCCGUACAAAUAUAAACUAAAUAAAAAAUAAAAGUCCAAAAUGCAUUAGUCUAUUUACAAACUAAACUCAGACCCAAACAAGCCCAACAACCAACCAUAACCCAAAUUCAAAACCUAAAAUCUAGACCCAAAAAUACAAGCCCGAUAGGCCCAAUAUUUUAAUUCUCAGGAAACCUUAGGGUUUCCACCUUUGCGCCGCAGCCUUCAGCCGCCGUACAGCCCCAGCGCCACUCGUGCCUCCAAGUCAACGCGCCGUAUACCACCCGAGUGCCUGCACACACUCCGUACCUGCAAAAAAAACAAGUAAACAGCAGCAGAGCAACAGCCAAUACGAAGAACAAAGAAAAAAAUUAUAUUUUUUAUUUUUUUGAACAUUCGGCUAUAAAGCCUUGAACAAUCCAUUGUAAGUUUCUUUACGGAGAUGAUAAAAAGAGAAAUAUACUGAGAAAAUUAAAGGUGAUUCACUCACUAAUCCUUUGUUCUUCUUUUUUCGUUUUUAUUUCUUGCAUUAUUUAGAAUCUAUCUAACAAAUACAAAAAGGGAAGGCCUUCUCACCUGUUGACCAGCGUCGACCUAGUCGGUGGCUGCUUCUCUAGUUCAAAGGAAUACGGAUCCCUGGGGAUCCGUUUAAAGCUGUGACGGAGACUGGGGUGCACUUGACACCACUGUCGCUCGCAGGUCGGCCCAGAGAAGAGAGAGGGUCAAGAGGAUUUUAAGGGGAAAGAUUUUUAAGAUUUUUUAAAUCUG
rnacentral:lncRNA from 1 species